rnacentral:rRNA from 1 species
AGUGAACGCUGGCGGUAGGCCUAACACAUGCAAGUCGAACGGCAGCACAGUAAGAGCUUGCUCUUACAGGUGGCGAGUGGCGGACGGGUGAGGAAUACAUCGGAAUCUACUUUUUCGUAGGGGAUAACGUAGGGAAACUUACGCUAAUACCGCAUACGACCUACGGGUGAAAGCAGGGGAUCUUCGGACCUUGCGCGAUUGAAUGAGCCGAUGUCGGAUUAGCUAGUUGGCGGGGUAAAGGCCCACCAAGGCGACGAUCCGUAGCUGGUCUGAGAGGAUGAUCAGCCACACUGGAACUGAGACACGGUCCAGACUCCUACGGGAGGCAGCAGUGGGGAAUAUUGGACAAUGGGCGCAAGCCUGAUCCAGCCAUACCGCGUGGGUGAAGAAGGCCUUCGGGUUGUAAAGCCCUUUUGUUGGGAAAGAAAAGCAGCAGGUUAAUACCCCGCUGUUCCGACGGUACCCAAAGAAUAAGCACCGGCUAACUUCGUG